UAGGUGGAAGCUUAUUGGUUUUAGCGUUUAGCUGUUAACUAAGAGUUUGUAGGAUCAAAGCCUUCCCACCUAG
rnacentral:tRNA from 1 species